rnacentral:rRNA from 1 species
AGGAUGAACGCUGGCGGCGUGCUUAACACAUGCAAGUCGAACGAUGAACCUCGCUUGCGGGGGGAUUAGUGGCGAACGGGUGAGUAACACGUGAGUAACCUGCCCUUAACUCUGGGAUAAGCCUUGGAAACGAGGUCUGAUACUGGAUAUUGACUUUUCCUCGCAUGGGGAUUGGUUGAAAGAUUUAUUGGUUUUGGAUGGACUCGCGGCCUAUCAGCUUGUUGGUGUGGUAAUGGCUCACCAAGGCGACGACGGGUAGCCGGCCUGAGAGGGUGAUCGGCCACACUGGGACUGAGACACGGCCCAGACUCCUACGGGAGGCAGCAGUGGGGAAUAUUGCACAAUGGGCGAAAGCCUGAUGCAGCGACGCCGCGUGGGGGAUGGACGGUCUUCGGAUUGUAAACCCCUUUCAGUAGGACGAAGCGCAAGUGACGGUACCUGCAGAAGAAGCACCGGCUAACUACGUGUCAGCAGCCGC